rnacentral:rRNA from 1 species
UACGUAGGGUGCAAGCGUUGUCCGGAAUUAUUGGGCGUAAAGAGCUCGUAGGCGGCCUGUUGCGUCCGCUGUGAAAGCCCGGGGCUUAACCCCGGGUCUGCAGUGGAUACGGGCAGGCUAGAGGUAGGUAGGGGAGAAUGGAAUUCCCGGUGUAGCGGUGAAAUGCGCAGAUAUCGGGAGGAACACCGGUGGCGAAGGCGGGUCUCUGGGCCGAUACUGGACGCUGAGGAGCGAAAGCGUGGGGAGCGAACAGG